GUGUGACGCUGGACACGUGUGGUGAUACAGGAAGUCAGGAGUUAGAGCCACCUCUGUACUCACUCCUGAGCACUCUUCAGACCAAGUCUGUACUGCUAAUGGAACCUGAGAACACUGGCCUUCUGUGCGCAGAUACAAACAGGUCUGCUGAAGUCAUUGGAAGGAGUGCCUACCUCCAGUGCAGGUCUGCCCCUAACCAUGAACCCACAGUGUAAGCUCUCUGAACUCCACAUCUUCAUCAGAAAACAGCCAGACCUUCCACAGAGAUGAAUUGGAUUGGAUUCGAAAGUGUAUACAUGUGGGAACUUCAAUAAAACUUAGGCAUGCUUAUUUCUCUUAUCUAAUCUG
rnacentral:lncRNA from 1 species